UCCCUGAAGCCAUAUCCGAGGC
rnacentral:miRNA from 1 species